AAACUCAAAGGAAUUGACGGGGCCCGCACAAGCAGCGGAGCGUGUGGUUUAAUUCGAUGCUACACGAAGAACCUUACCUGGGCUUGACCUGGCCGUAGUAGUGAACCGAAGGGGAACGAGCCUUCGGGCAGCGGCCACAGGUGCUGCAUGGCUGUCGUCAGCUCGUGCCGUGAGGUGUUGGGUUAAGUCCCGCAACGAGCGCAACCCUUGUCGCUAGUUACAUGUGUCUAGCGAGACUGCCAGGUCAAUCCUGGAGGAAGCGGGGAUGAAGUCAAGUCAGCAUGGCCUUUAUGUCCAGGGCUACACACACGCUACAAUGGCCGGUACAAUGGGCAGCCAAGCCGCGAGGCGGAGCCAAUCCCAAAAGCCGGUCUCAGUUCGGAUUGGAGGCUGCAACUCGCCUCCAUGAAGUCGGAGUUGCUAGUAACCGCAGGUCAGCUAUACUGCGGUGAAUACGUUCCCGGGCCUU
rnacentral:rRNA from 1 species